rnacentral:lncRNA from 1 species
CCCGGGCUGGGGGGUCUCAGGCUGGGGGGUCUGGGGCUGGGGAAGAUCCUGGCCCCAGUGUGAGGGGGGCUGGGUCUGAGAGGGUCCUGGGUUGAUCUGGGGUGGGGGGAUCUGAUCUGAGGGGGUCCUGGGCUGAGGGAUCUGGGUCUGGGGGGUCGCAGUCCCAGGCUGAGGUAGACCCCGGGCUGGGGGUGAUCGCGGCCCCAGUGUGAGGGGGUCCCGGUCUGAGGGGGUCCUGGGUCAGUGUGGGGGAUGUGGGUCCCUGCCUGAGGUGGGGGGAUCUGAUCUGAGGGGGGUCCUGGAGCCGGUCCCGGUCUGAGGGGGUCCUGGACCUGGUCCUGGUCUGAGGGGGUCCCUGUUAGAGGGGAUCCCGGGCCCAAGGAAGAUUUGGGUCCCUGCCUGGGGUGGGGGGAUCCAGUCUGAGGAGAGCCCAGGUUUGAAGGGGGUCCUGGUUUGAGGGGGUCCCAAUCUGAGGGGGUCCCGAUCCCUGUCCCGGCCCCGCUCCGUGGCACAGCCCCUUGUACCCCCACUCCUCGGAGCCUCACCCAGCCCCGAGCGGGGCCCUCCCGGACCUGUGGGGUCCCCCCAGAGCUUGUGGGGCUCCCCCGGGGCCUGGCCUGGCCUCUACCAAGGUGCCCAGGGCUGGUCACAGCCCACGGCUGCCCCUCCACGGGGCUGCCCCCGUGGGAUCCACGGCCACCCAGGGCUGAGGGGUCCCCAGGGCGAUGGCUCUGGGGGGGGUGGCUCUGGGGCCGGUGACCCCCAAGGGGGACGUGCAGCCAUCACCGACCUUUUCUCUGGGAAUCUCGGUAAAUACGUCAGCUUCGGGGUGGAGAAAUCUCUUGUGCUCCCUCUUGGGGGAUUUGGGGUCUGGGAGGGAUGCGGUGGAGCCCCGAGGCCGAGCAACGGGCACGGGAGGCAGGGUUUGUGCUGCCUGGGGUCGUUCUCCUUCAUGCACGGCAUCCGUGGGUUUGCGCAGCAGCUCCUGUCCCUCGUGCAGCCGAAGGCUUUGGCUUUCCUCCCGGUGCCACGGCCAGCCGGUUGGGAAGGGACAAGCGGACGGCAUGCUGCGUGAUCGCUGCGGGACGGUCCCGGUGCUUCACGGGGCCAGGAGGACGACAGCUGAGCGUAGCCCACUGACGGCCCAGCGUCAGACCGCGGCCGAUUCACGUUUGGGGCAGGGGCUUUGCAGAGAGCCUGGCUGCCGGCUGAUAACGGCCCCCUGCCUCUGUGGGUGCGGCACCCACACUCCGCAGCGCAGGCGGCUCCCGUGGGGUGAUGGCCCGUGA